AUUAAACGCUGGCGGCAGGCCUAACACAUGCAAGUCGAGCGGUAGCACAGAGAGCUUGCUCUCGGGUGACGAGUGGCGGACGGGUGAGUAAUGUCUGGGAAACUGCCCGAUGGAGGGGGAUAACUACUGGAAACGGUAGCUAAUACCGCAUAACGUCGCAAGACCAAAGUGGGGGACCUUCGGGCCUCACACCAUCGGAUGUGCCCAGAUGGGAUUAGCUAGUAGGUGGGGUAAUGGCCCACCUAGGCGACGAUCCCUAGCUGGUCUGAGAGGAUGACCAGCCACACUGGAACUGAGACACGGUCCAGACUCCUACGGGAGGCAGCAGUGGGGAAUAUUGCACAAUGGGCGCAAGCCUGAUGCAGCCAUGCCGCGUGUAUGAAGAAGGCCUUCGGGUUGUAAAGUACUUUCAGCGGGGAGGAAGGCGGUGAAGUUAAUAACUUCACCGAUUGACGUUACCCGCAGAAGAAGCACCGGCUAACUCCGUGCCAGCAGCCGCCGUAA
rnacentral:rRNA from 1 species